rnacentral:lncRNA from 1 species
CCCCUAUGUUCUAUUUUUAGCCAUGGCUGACAUCUUGGUUGGUUGGCCGGGUCAUGCCACACAUUUUUUAAACUAGAUACCCCAAAGAUGAUUGUGGCCAAGUUUGGAUUAAUUUGGCCCAGUAGUUUCAGAGGAGAAGAUUUUUGUAAAAGAUUACUAAGAUUUACGAAAAAUGGUUAAAAAUUUACUAUAAAGGGCAAUAACUCCUAAAGGGGUCAACUGACCAUUUUGGUCAUGUUGACUUAUUUGUAAAUCUUACUUUGCUGAACAUUAUUGUUGUUUACAGUUUAUCUCUAUCUAUAAUAAUAUUCAAG